rfam:Camponotus floridanus CamFlo_1.0_1.contig4676, whole genome shotgun sequence.
CAAACGGCCCUUUUCAGGGCCACCAGUAAAGUCUACGAAUA